CGGACGUUUAUGGAGAUUCUUUCUCAUAGAAACUACAAGUUUUGUCUUAGGCUGAGUAGAUCAACAGCCAACAAGUGUGAAGUAUACAGGCAAUUGCAAGUGAAACAGGGAUUUCCAUUCCAUUUGGUCCAGACAGCGGAUUCGUAGACAGAGAUUAUUGGGAGCGUACGUUUUCUAGGAUCGCGUGACAAGGUUAUUGAUUGCAUGGGAAUCGUGGAGUGAGGAUCACUUAGAAAUAUAGCUUUUACUAGAGUCGUAUUUCAGUUUAAAUUUUACCUUAGGUUGUUUAAAUUUUAUAUGGACACAGAUUACGUUUUAGUCUUUUCUUAU